UGGGGAAUAUUGGACAAUGGGCGCAAGCCUGAUCCAGCCAUGCCGCGUGAGUGACGAAGGCCCUAGGGUUGUAAAGCUCUUUCAGUGGUGAAGAUAAUGACGGUAACCACACAAGAAGCCCCGGCUAACUUCGUGCCAGCAGCCGCGGUAAUACGAAGGGGGCUAGCGUUGUUCGGAAUUACUGGGCGUAAAGCGCGCGUAGGCGGAUUGGUCAGUCAGGGGUGAAAUCCCGGGGCUCAACCCCGGAACUGCCUUUGAUACUGCCAGUCUAGAGAUCGAGAGAGGUGAGUGGAAUUCCGAGUGUAGAGGUGAAAUUCGUAGAUAUUCGGAGGAACACCAGUGGCGAAGGCGGCUCACUGGCUCGAUACUGACGCUGAGGUGCGAAAGCGUGGGGAGCAAACAGGAUUAGAUACCCCCGUAGUCC
rnacentral:rRNA from 1 species